UACGAAGGGGGCUAGCGUUGCUCGGAAUCACUGGGCGUAAAGCGCACGUAGGCGGAUUGCUAAGUCAGGGGUGGAAUCCUGGAGCUCAACUCCAGAACUGCCUUUGAUACUGGCGAUCUUGAGUCCGGGAGAGGUGAGUGGAACUGCGAGUGUAGAGGUGAAAUUCGUAGAUAUUCGCAAGAACACCAGUGGCGAAGGCGGCUCACUGGCCCGGUACUGACGCUGAGGUGCGAAAGCGUGGGGAGCAAACAGG
rnacentral:rRNA from 1 species